rnacentral:rRNA from 1 species
GACGAACGCUGGCGGCGUGCUUAACACAUGCAAGUCGAACGGUAAGGCCCUUCGGGGUACACGAGUGGCGAACGGGUGAGUAACACGUGGGUGAUCUGCCCUGCACUUCGGGAUAAGCCUGGGAAACUGGGUCUAAUACCAGAUACGACCACUGCCUGCAUGGGUGGUGGUGGAAAGCGUUUGCGGUGUGGGAUGGGCCCGCGGCCUAUCAGCUUGUUAGUGGGGGGAUUGCAUACCAAGGCGACGACGGGUAGCCGGCCUGAGAGGGUGACCGGCCACACUGGGACUGAGAUACGGCCCAGACUCCUACGGGAGGCAGCAGUGGGGAAUAUUGCACAAUGGGCGCAAGCCUGAUGCAGCGACGCCGCGUGAGGGAUGACGGCCUUCGGGUUGUAAACCUCUUUCAGCACCGACGAAGCGCAAGUGACGGUAGGUGCAGAAGAAGGACCGGCCAACUACGUGCCAGCCGCCGCCGUAA